rnacentral:rRNA from 1 species
GUCGAGAAUUUUUCUCAAUGGGCGAAAGCCUGAAGGAGCGACGCCGCGUGGGGGAUGAAUGGCUUCGGCCCGUAAACCCCUGUCAUUUGCGAUCAAACCUUACGACCUAACACGUCGUGAGCUGAUAGUAGCGGAAGAGGAAGGGACGGCUAACUCUGUGCCAGCAGCCGCGGUAAUACAGAGGUCCCAAGCGUUGUUCGGAUUCACUGGGCGUAAAGGGUGCGUAGGCGGUCGGGUAAGUCUGAUGUGAAAUCUUCAAGCUCAACUUGGAAACUGCAUCGGAUACUAUUCGGCUCGAGGAAUGGAGGGGAGACUGGAAUACUUGGUGUGGCAGUGAAAUACGUAGAUAUCAAGUGGAACACCAGUGGCGAAGGCGAGUCUCUGGACAUUUCCUGACGCUGAGGCACGAAAGCCAGGGGAGCAAA